rnacentral:rRNA from 1 species
GACGAACGCUGGCGGCGUGCCUAAUACAUGCAAGUCGAGCGGAAAUUUUAUUGGUGCUUGCACCUUUAAGAUUUUAGCGGCGGACGGGUGAGUAACACGUGGGUAACCUACCUUAUAGAUCGGGAUAACUCCGGGAAACCGGGGCUAAUACCGAAUAAUACUUUUUAACACAUGUUUGAAAGUUGAAAGACGGUCUUGCUGUCACUAUAAGAUGGACCCGCGGCGCAUUAGCUAGUUGGUGAGGUAACGGCUCACCAAGGCAACGAUGCGUAGCCGACCUGAGAGGGUGAUCGGCCACACUGGGACUGAGACACGGCCCAGACUCCUACGGGAGGCAGCAGUAGGGAAUCUUCCACAAUGGACGAAAGUCUGAUGGAGCGACGCCGCGUGAGUGAAGAAGGAUUUCGGUUCGUAAAACUCUGUUGCAAGGGAAGAACAAGUAGCGUAGUAACAGGCGCUACCUUGACGGUACCUUGUUAGAAAGCCACGGCUAACUACGUGCCAGCCGCCGCAGUAACAC